rnacentral:tRNA from 1 species
ACUUGGAUAGUUUAUUUAGAAUAGUAAUUUGUGGUAUUACUGGUGCUUAAUAAUUCAAGCUUCAGGUC